rnacentral:lncRNA from 1 species
UUUGCACUUAAAAAAAAAAAAAACAAAGAAAGAAAAAAAAGCCAAGAACGACAGGAAAAGGAAAAGCAAACGCUGCUCCCUUCUCCUCUCUUCUCUCUCAAUCGAUCCUCAUCGCAUAAAUUUGUACGCAGAGAAGUUGCUUCUACUGAAAUCGGGCCUGCCUUUCUCCUAUCUACGGACUGAUUUCUCGUUGUUGGAGAUCAGUUUUGGGGAAGAAAAACAAAUCAAAAUCAAAAGCCUUAAGGCAUGGGCCAAGCUUUUCGCAAGCUUUUCGAUACCUUCUUCGGCAACAGUGAGAUGAGGGUACUCUCUCUCUCUCUGAUAAUAUAUAUAUAUACAUACAUAUAUAUAUAUAUAUAUAAUAUUGGAUAUACACAGAUUUACUUGUAAGCAAGUUUAGACAAUUUGGUUAGAUAUUUAUGUAAGUAUUAGAAGUUUUUACUUUCCAUAUUUUGAUUUAUGUUUGUUAAUAUUAAAGUAGUUGUUACAGCUGUUUUGUUGUUGAUGCGUUUCUGUUCUAUGGUUAAUACUGUUUUCCCCCUUUUUAUUUUUUCUGUAAUUUUUUUUUUUAAAAUAUAAACAGUGUAGUAUAUUACUAUAGGCACCAAGGGGUUGUUGCCUAUGUACAAAAGAAUUUACAUGUCAAUUAAAUUAUCCACAAGGUUUGAUAAAUCCUCCAAAUAUUAAGAUUUUUAUUUUCUGUUUGGAAGACGUUUGUAUUCUACUGUUCUUUUAUACCAGCAAAGUGUACCCAUGGAAAAUUUUAUGGUACUCAUUACGUAUAAAUUCAUGUAAGUAUGAUAAAUCUUUUCCAAGAAGCUAAGUUAGUAUCAGGAGCUGAAAUAAGUAUCCAGCAGGGUUGGUGUUGUUUUUUUUUUCCCCAAUUGUUGUUUAUGUAACAUUGUUGCAAUCUAUUGCUCAUGGGUAUAGAACAGUUUUCUAAUAAACUUAAUUGUUUAAUACAGAAAAUAUGUAUUACAAAAAUACAGAAUAAUGUGAACUUUGUUACUGAAUUGGCUUCCAAGUAGACAGUUGCACUGGCUUUACGGAAAAGUAGGGAAAAUAUUGUGGGUCUUCACAGCACAGCAGUUGCAUUGAUAUUUUGCAAUGUCCCCGUGAAAAUAUACGUGUGUGUUUAAUGUUUGGGGCAUUCGUCCUAUGCUUUUGACGGAAUUAUUUUGAAGGAAGGGACGAACUUAAUAAUGUUUACUGUAGGUGGGAAGGUCUUUUCUCUUGGUACUGUAUUGCAAUGCUCUGAUCAAUGCAACUCUAUUACAUUUUUUUUUCGUUUGUUGUUGCAUAUUGUUUUGCUAGUGAAGAAAAUGAAAAUUUUCAUUGGCAUAAGGAUAAAAUGGAGGAUGGUUCCCAAGGUAAGCUGAAUGGAAUAUAAGGAUUUAUCAUAUUAGUUGAAAUUAAGGCUUUUCUGGUGUUGAAAUUUGCCAUUUUUUUCCUUGUUGAAUUUUGUUGAGGGCAUGCGAGAUUUUAUAACAAAAGUUUACGAACAUUUAGGGAGAAAUAUCUCUCUUCCAAUAACAUCUUAUGUUCAAUGGUUACAAAAUUUUCACUGUUUGUAUAUAAGAUCUAUUUUUUACGAGAAAAUAAUUCACUAAAUAGCACCAAUUAAGUGCUAAUGCAAGAAGGAAUCUUUUUGCUAGACUAAAAGCCUAUAAGCCACAUUGUAUGAUCUUGAUCUAAAAUUGGGUUUCCACUUAAUCAAAGCUCAAUGAAACUGGCCAUUUCUCUUUGACGGAAACAAAACGAGCUUUCCACCAAAUUAAAGUCCCUCUCAUCUCUUUAUUUCCAAAUAAUCCUUCUUCUUCUUGCUCCCUUGAGGAAACUAAAAAGAAAAUAAUUGAUUUUGGGUGGGGCAGGGUUGGGGGCGGGGGAGGGAAGUGGAAGAACAACCCAACAAUAAGCAAAAGUAUAAGAAAGGAUAGACCAAAGCCUUGAAGCAACUUCGUAAUGCAAAACAGAUGAUUAUGGGUUUUUGGUGUCUUGGGUAGUAAAUAAGGUGAGUAAAACCAUUGGAGCAUUGAAAAGGGGUUUGUUUUCCUUAAAGGGAAGAGUUACCUUGAUUCAAGCUUGUCUCUAUCUAUGUUCCUCCUUGUGUGCUGAGAGUAUAGAGGUGUAUGAAAAGAUUCUUAUGGGCGAGGGUAGGGAGGAGCAUAAGGAUCACUCACUUGAGUUGGGUUGUCGAUCGAAGAACUCAAAUGGUUUAGAUAUCAGAAAUCUUAAAUUGAAAAACUUAUAUCUUUUGGCUAAAUGGCUGUGACGUUAUCCAAGGUAACUUAGUUCUUUGUGGUAUAGAAUGAACAAUAUUCAUGGAAAUUGCGGAGCUAGCUAUAAUACAACAACAGGGAGAUCCAUUACUCACAAAAGUCCAUGGGAAACCAUCUCCUAAGUCCUUCCUUUGUACCUAAUUUAACUCAUUUAAAAGUGAGAGAUGGCUCUUGAGGGCUAUUUUAGGAGGAUCACAGGAUUGGGAACUCUUCAUUGGCCGACUAACUUCCUAGACAUAAUGCUCCCGUUUCUUGUUUUGCAACCUCAAUAUAUGACAUCACAGGUUGAAACUUUGCCAUUUUUCAUCACUUAUCUGAUAGAGAGACUUGAGAAAUAUCAACCAUACACUAGUUAGUCUUCACUCACACCCCGAUUAUAAAGCCUGGACCUUGGAGCCUCAGGGUUAUAUACUUGCAAAUCCUUUUUUGACCAUAUCAGUGAAAGCCCCAUCUACUACUAUAGUCUUUUUGGCCAAUAUUUUGUAGAAUGCCCCGGUACCAUCAAAUAUAAAGGUAUUUGCAUGGAUUGCUAUUCUUCGACAACUCAAUAUACUAAUGACAUGUUGUAAGUUCACAAGUUAGAUCGGGCUUUGCCUCUAGAUAUCUGUAUAAUAUGCUAUCGGGNNN